CCUAUGAUGAGAAGUGAGUUGAAUGACGUAGGCUUUAUGAUACAGCAUUAGGCUGCUGACCUGAUGAUGCUUCAGAAGGUGGGUCAUCUGCUUCAAAUGAUCCUGGACCAUUGAACUGUGAUGAUGCUGGUGACCGGAUGCCUUGAGCAGAUGAUGGUGAUGGCUGAGAAAUCCCAGUGGCUCAUGACAUGGCUCCAGGAAGACUUUCCCAACACCUAAAGAAUUUCUUUAUUCCUUUUCCCAGUCUGGUAUUUCUACUUACUAUUUUGCCAGCUCCUAGACCUACUGUGUCUGGGAUCCAGGGUGAAGCCAAAGCCACAACCACCCUGAUGCUCUGGAUUGCUCAGAAAUUCCAAAUUUCCUGCUGCCUCACUGACUGGAACAGACUGGAAUGCAACACAGCUGAUGAUAACAGCAGAGGCCUCAAACCACAAGGGCAGGCAGCCCCAGGAGCUAAUCCUUGCUCCACCACUUCUGGUGAAAGAUAAGGUCCAAGUUACUUAGCCUUCAUCAUAGGUCACAUUUCCCUGGAAAAAGAGACGACGUCUCUGAGGAGUGUGUGGAGGAGGCUCAUCGGGGAGUGAAUUCAGAAACAACAUCUGCGAUGGGGAGGGAGGCAGGACUUGGUGGAGGGAGAAGUUGGAGUGUGGUGCAGCUUCUAUGGAGGCCUCCAGCGAUCCCACAGGGAGCUGAGAUGGCUCUUCGGAAUUGUUCUGGUUGUGGACAAAUGGUUAGGCGCUUGUUCUUCCAUGUUGACCUAUCACAGAUGUAGGCUGCCUUCUGAGAAAGGAUCUGAGACGAAAGAUCUUUUUGAUUGACUCUUAGAGCAGCAGCCAGAGGUCCUGGUAGUAGGCAGAAUGAACACCUCCAUCCUGAGGUGUACCUGGGCAGCCCAUUGUACCUUUGCCUACAUUCUCAGUAUAUCACAGAACCAAGGAAGUGUCCUUGGCCACUCCACUGAAACUGCAAUCCCUUAAUCUCAUGUCCUCCUACCCCAUCUGACUGAUAUUCAUUGCAUUUAUCAUGAACUGACAUCCUUUAUAAGAAUUUAUCUGCUCAGUAUUCUGUAACAACCUA